rnacentral:rRNA from 1 species
UACAGAGGCCACAAGCGUUAUCCGGAAUCAUUGGGCGUAAAGCGUCCGCAGGUGGCUCAUCGCAUCUUUGGUAAAAUCCCACGGCCUAACCGUGGAACCGCCAAAGAGAUGGAUGAGCUUGAGGCAGGGAGAGGUAAGCGGAACUUCUGGUGGAGCGGUGAAAUGCGUUGAUAUCAGAGGGAACACCAAUUGCGAAGGCAGCUUACUGGUCCUGUCCUGACACUCAGGGACGACAGCGUGGGGAGCGAAUGGG